rnacentral:rRNA from 1 species
GACGAACGCUGGCGGCGUGCUUAACACAUGCAAGUCGAACGGUAAGGCCCUUCGGGGUACACGAGUGGCGAACGGGUGAGUAACACGUGGGUGAUCUGCCCUGCACUUCGGGAUAAGCCUGGGAAACUGGGUCUAAUACCGGAUAGGACCCUGGGAUGCAUGUCCUGGGGUGGAAAGCUUUUGCGGUGUGGGAUGGGCCCGCGGCCUAUCAGCUUGUUGGUGGGGUGAUGGCCUACCAAGGCGACGACGGGUAGCCGGCCUGAGAGGGUGAACGGGCACACUGGGAGUGGGAUACGGCCCAGACUCCUACGGGAGGGAGCAGUGGGGAAUAUUGCACAAUGGGCGCAAGCCUGAUGCAGCGACGCCGCGUGAGGGAUGACGGCCUUCGGGUUGUAAACCUCUUUCAGCACCGACGAAGCGCAAGUGACGGUAGGUGCAGAAGAAGGACCGGCCAACUACGUGCCAGCAGCCGCAGUAA